UAAGUUUGAUGGCGACCGGCGCACGGGUGAGUAACACGUAUCCAACCUGCCGAUGACUCGGGGAUAGCCUUUCGAAAGAAAGAUUAAUACCCGAUGGCAUAGUUCUUCCGCAUGGUAGAACUAUUAAAGAAUUUCGGUCAUCGAUGGGGAUGCGUUCCAUUAGGUUGUUGGCGGGGUAACGGCCCACCAAGCCUUCGAUGGAUAGGGGUUCUGAGAGGAAGGUCCCCCACAUUGGAACUGAGACACGGUCCAAACUCCUACGGGAGGCAGCCAUG
rnacentral:rRNA from 1 species